AUUGAACGCUGGCGGCAGGCCUAACACAUGCAAGUCGAACGGUAACAGGAAACAGCUUGCUGUUUCGCUGACGAGUGGCGGACGGGUGAGUAAUGUCUGGGAAACUGCCUGAUGGAGGGGGAUAACUACUGGAAACGGUAGCUAAUACCGCAUAACGUCGCAAGACCAAAGAGGGGGACCUUCGGGCCUCUUGCCAUCGGAUGUGCCCAGAUGGGAUUAGCUAGUAGGUGAGGUAACGGCUCACCUAGGCGACGAUCCCUAGCUGGUCUGAGAGGAUGACCAGCCACACUGGAACUGAGACACGGUCCAGACUCCUACGGGAGGCAGAAGUGGGGAAUAUUGCACAAUGGGCGCAAGCCUGAUACAGCCAUGCCGCGUGUAUGAAGAAGGCCUUCGGGUUGUAAAGUACUUUCAGCGGGGAGGAAGGGAGUAAAGUUAAUACCUUUGCUCAUUGACGUUACCCGCAGAAGAAGCACCGGCUAACUCCGUGCCAGCCGCCGCAGUAA
rnacentral:rRNA from 1 species